AUUGAACGCUGGCGGCAUGCCUUACACAUGCAAGUCGAACGGCAGCACGGGAGCAAUCCUGGUGGCGAGUGGCGAACGGGUGAGUAAAGUAUCGGAACGUGCCCAGUCGUGGGGGAUAACGUAGGGAAAGUUACGCUAAUACCGCAUACGAGCUAUGGACGAAAGCGGGGGAUCGCAAGACCUCGCGCGAUUGGAGCGGCCGAUAUCAGAUUAGGUAGUUGGUGGGGUAAAGGCUCACCAAGCCGACGAUCUGUAGCUGGUCUGAGAGGACGACCAGCCACACUGGGACUGAGACACAGCCCAGACUCCUACGGGAGGCAGCAGUGGGGAAUUUUGGACAAUGAGCGAAAGCCUGAUCCAGCCAUGCCGCGUGCAGGAUGAAGGCCUUCGGGUUGUAAACUGCUUUUGUACGGAACGAAAAGGUUUGGGCUAAUAAGCUGAGCUCAUGACGGUACCGUAAGAAUAAGCACCGGCUAACUACGUGCCAGCCGCCGCCGUAA
rnacentral:rRNA from 1 species